UACGGAGGGUGCAAGCGUUAAUCGGAAUUACUGGGCGUAAAGCGUGCGCAGGCGGUUUGUUAAGUCUGUCGUGAAAUCCCCGGGCUCAACCUGGGAAUGGCGAUGGAAGCUGGGCAGCUAGAGUGUGUCAGAGGAUGGUGGAAUUCCCGGUGUAGCGGUGAAAUGCGUAGAGAUCGGGAGGAACAUCAGUGGCGAAGGCGGCCAUCUGGGACAACACUGACGCUGAAGCACGAAAGCGUGGGGAGCAAACAGG
rnacentral:rRNA from 1 species